AAUGAACGUUGGCGGCGUGGAUUAGGCAUGCAAGUCGAGCGAGAAUUUGCGAUUGGAAGCUUCGGCCGAAGAAAGUGAAGGAAAGCGGCAAACGGCGUAGUAAGGCGUAGGUACGUACCCUCGGGUCGGGAAUAGCCAUGGGAAACUGUGGGUAAUGCCCGAUAAUCUCUGCGGAGCAAAGGUGUGAUUCCGCCGGAGGAGCGGCUUACGUGAUAUUAGCUAGUUGGUGGGGUAAUGGCCUACCAAGGCAACGAUGUCUAGGGGGUGUGAGAGCAUGGCCCCCACCACUGGGACUGAGACACUGCCCAGACACCUACGGGUGGCUGCAGUCGAGAAUCUUUGGCAAUGGGCGCAAGCCUGACCAAGCGACGCUGCGUGCGGGAUGAAGGCCCUUGGGUUGUAAACCGCUGUCAGGGGGGAUCAAGGCGAAAGCUUGAGAGAGCCCCAGAGGAAGCACGGGCUAAGUUCGUGCCAGCAGCCGCGGUAAUGUCUAG
rnacentral:rRNA from 1 species